rnacentral:rRNA from 1 species
GACGAACGCUGGCGGCGUGCUUAACACAUGCAAGUCGAGCGGUAAGGCCCUUUCGGGGGUACACGAGCGGCGAACGGGUGAGUAACACGUGGGUGACCUGCCCUCAGCUCUGGGAUAAGCCUGGGAAACUGGGGUCUAAUACCGGAUAUGACUCCAUGACGCAUGUUGUGGGGUGGAAAGCCUUGUGCGGCUGAGGAUGGGCCCGCGGCCUAUCAGCUUGUUGGUGGGGUGANGGCCUACCAAGGCGACGACGGGUAGCCGGCCUGAGAGGGCGACCGGCCACACUGGGACUGAGACACGGCCCAGACUCCUACGGGAGGCAGCAGGUGGGGAAUCUUGCGCAAGUGGGACGAAAGCCUGACGCAGCGACGCCGCGUGAGGGAU